GACGAACGCUGGCGGCGUGCUUAACACAUGCAAGUCGAACGGAAAGGCCCUGCUUUUGUGGGGUGCUCGAGUGGCGAACGGGUGAGUAACACGUGAGUAACCUGCCCUUGACUUUGGGAUAACUUCAGUAAACUGGGGCUAAUACCGGAUAGGAGCUCCUGCUGCAUGGUGUGGGUUGGAAAGUUUCGGCGGUUGGGGAUGGACUCGCGGCUUAUCAGCUUGUUGGUGGGGUAGUGGCUUACCAAGGCUUUGACGGGUAGCCGGCCUGAGAGGGUGACCGGCCAAAUUGGGACUGAGAUACGGCCCAGACUCGUACGGGAGGCAGCAGUGGGGAAUAUUGCACAAUGGGCGGAAGCCUGAUGCAGCAACGCCGCGUGCGGGAUGACGGCCUUCGGGUUGUAAACCGCUUUCGCCUGUGACGAAGCGUGAGUGACGGUAAUGGGUAAAGAAGCACCGGCUAACUACGUG
rnacentral:rRNA from 1 species